rnacentral:lncRNA from 1 species
UUAAAAAACAAACUAAAAACAUGUUGCUCAUUUCAAUAGGAAAAUAUGUUCUCCAUGGAUUCCUUCCACAGCUGUGGCUGCUUAAGAUAACAGACAGUCCAAUGACAGUAAUGAAAAGCACAGAGGGCAGAAAGCUGCAACCUGCCCAUGAACAUUUGCAGAGGAGAAUUUGUGAAUUUGAGGCAUACAGGCAGGAGCAGACUGUCUUGUGUAGAGAAAUCAACAAAGAAGAUGAGAGAUUCUAAUUGUUUUCGGCAUUCUUCCCUUGGGUAUUUGAAUCUCUCUAUUGGUUGACAAAGACAACAUUCUGUACCCUUCCAUAUUAUGUUAAAUUUGUGGGAGGAUGUGCUCUUUGGGUUUCAUAAACAUCCGAAGCCCACAUAGCAUUUUUUUUUUGGUGCUGGUAAUAGGAAAUGGGCAUCCCUGAAUGGUUUUAAGGAUUUCCUCCCUCUGUUUAACUUCUGGUAAUAUAAACCCUACUAUGUAAAGCUUGUCCUUCUACUAGAAGAAUUGGCAUCAUCAGGGAGCUUGUUAGAAACAUGAAUCUGUCUGCAUUUUUAAAGUGUGUCUCAAACUAGAAUAUACAUCAAAUUAUCUGGGGAUCUUGUUAAAAAGCAGAUUUUGGUUCAGAAGUCUAGGGUGGGGCCUGAGAUUCUGUAUUUCUAACAAGCUCUCAGGUGAUUUCAUUGCUGCGGGCCCUUGUACUACACCAGAUUACUUAUGCUCAACUCCCUUCCUGAGUAUUUGUUAAAGAAUCUUUUCUGAUAUCCCGUGGCAAACUAGUGUCCUGUGUUUCUCUAUAAAUAUCUAACAAGAGUAGUAAGGUACCAUAACUGGAGAGACUCUCCUGCUACUCUUCCGAGGACCCAGGCCUAGGUAUUGUAUGCUGUGGUUGUUCUAGACUAGAUUUCCCUUUGCUGGUAUUCUUAGGAGGUCACAAAGGGUCACAAAUCACAUUAGCCCAUAGCUGUCUUGAAGUGUUUAAUAAUCUUGUUUAUUGCAUAGAUUUAAGAGAGGGCUGGCUCUUAAUAUAUAGGAGAAUUUAUUUUGCAAGACAUCAGUAGGAGUAUAAUCAAGAGUAAUCUCACAAACAUAAAAAUAGGGCUUUUUUUUUUUUUUUUUUUUUUUUUGGUCAGGGUUUUACUUGCAUCACCCAGGCUAGAGUGCAAUGGUGUGAUCUCGCCUCACUGCAACCUCCACUUCCCAGGCUCAAGUGAUUGUUCUGUCUCAGCUUCCUGAGGAGCUGGAACUGCAGGCACACACCACCACACCCAGCUAAUUUUUGUAUUUUUUUGUAGAGACAGGGUUUUGCCUGGUAUCAAACUCCUGAGCUCAAGUGAUAUGUCCACCUCAGCCUACCAAAGUACUGUGAUUACAGGCAUAAGCAACCGCACCAGACCCAAAAUAGGGCUUCUUGAUCUUGAUUGUUCAUUAUAAUCAUAUGGGGCCUUUACAAAUGCUGUUUUCUAGGCCUCACCUCAGAGACAGUGAAUCAGCAUGGGGGUAGGUAACAGGUGUUUGCAUUUUAAAAACUUUAUGGGGGUUGUCUGGGCGUGAUGGCACACACCUACAUUCCAGGUACUCAGGAGGCUGAGGCAGGAAGAUUGCUUGAGCCCAGGAGUUUGAAGUUACAGUGAGCUAUGAUUGUGUCAUUGCACUCCAGCCUAGGCAACAAAGUGAGACCUUGUCUCUAAAAAAUAAAUAAGUAAACAAAUGAAAAUAAAAAUUUCAUGGGCGAUUUUGAUGCAUAGUCACUUGAGAACAAAGCUCUGUGUAAACAAUUCCCCUAGAGUUGUAUAAACUGGUGGUACAAGGUCAAACAGAUGACAAAGGGGCAAAGAUAGCAAGAAUACAGAAGAUUCAAAUGGCCCAAUUAACAAGUUCAAUUUAAUGGAGAAACAGAACUGUGCACUCAGUAAUUGGAAACUACACAUUUUUUCAAACAUACAUUAAUAAUUACCAAAAUUGUACAUGUAAUGGGGUAUUAAUCAAACCUCAACAAAUGUAAAAGAAUGAUCAGUACACAGAUCAUAUUUCCUAUCAAUAAUGCAAUUAUAUUAGAUUUCAACAAUAAAAACUUUUUUUUACUGAAAAAGCCCUACAUGUUUAGACAUGAAAAAUACACACUUCUAAUAUACACAAUUUGACUUAGGUCAAAGAUAAAAUCAUAAUAAAUAUUAGAAAAUGUUUAGAGUGGAAAAAUGAAACCGCUAAAUAUUGAAGUUUGUAAAAUGCAGAUAAGCGGUAAUUCAAGAGAAACUUGAAAGUUUAAAUGCUCAUAUUAGGAAAAAAGAAAAUUUGAAAAUCUAUAAACUAAGAAUCCAACUUAAGAAAUUUGAAAGUGAAUAUCAAACUACAGACAAAGAAAAAGAAA